CUCUCUUCUUCCCCUUCUAAGCCCACAUGGCUCUCUACUCAGCAUGCAAGAUGUAGUAAGUGAAUUGUGAAUGGGCUAAUCAGCCCUAGGCACAUGCUUUUCUUAUUUUGUAUUUUCUUUUUCCUUGAUUUCUAAUAAUCUUAAUAAACCUCAUAAAAUAUUUAGUAGAGAAACUAAUUUAAUUUUUACAAGAUUGUUGAUAGUCCUUCACCUGCAAACUCUAAAAUGGUUCUGAGGAUUUGUGUGACUGUAUUGAGGCUUCAAGUCAGAAUCAAGGGGACAUCUGAUGGAGAGCCUGACUGCAUUGCAGCUUCUGACGCACCUGGUACAAGAUCUCCUGAGGGUAAAAGGGUGCUUAGGUUUAAACCUACAGGGUUAAUGGCACUAGUAUUAUACUGGUGCAUGGGAUUUUAACUGCUCAUCAAUGCUUGUGCUCUACAUCUAGAAUUUAAAUCCAGCAGGGUUUGCCAUGACUUGGAUGGAAAUGUUUCUGAAGAGCUCCUUUUUGAACUUGAAGGAAGUUUAAUACAUGAAGGACUCCCUUUCCCAACACUGAUGGCUGAACCAAUAAGCUCUUGGAUGUGAUUUUUUUCCUUUAAUUUCCUGAUCAGGACUUAGAUUGAUGUGUUUUCUAGAUAGCUGUGUAGUAGUUGUGGGGAAAAGUUUGGCUGUAUUACUUCCUUCUACUCUUGCCAUUUCUUUCCCAGGAAAAAAUUGACUAAGAUUGCCUGAUCCCCUUGACUUAUGGAACAUCUUUACUAGACAACUGGCUUCAUUCUGAAUCACUUUUUGGUAUUGACUAAUUAUUCUUUUAGCAUCAGCCUUUGAUCCAAUAAGGAACUGGUUUGAUGUUACUGGGUUCUCAGUUUCUUCCUCAGAUCUAUAAGUCUGUAUUUUACUAUAGUAAAGUAGAUUAUCAAGUGAUUGAAAAAUGGUUAACUUUGUUUUCUGAAGCAAUUCAUCUUCACAUUCAAACACAUAAUCUUUUAUCUCAUGUACUGGCCAGACAGUUGGCUGUGAGUCAUCAGAUUUGAUAUAUUUUCCCCACUUAAGCAUAUUUUUCCACAUCCUCUUAUGAAGGUAUAGUCAAGUAAACAAAGGUUCUAUUUCCACAUAUCCACACAAUUUCCUGCCUUAGAAAUGCUGAGGUCAUACUGUUAGACUAUUUUUCUCUUUUCUGUGAGUAAUUGAGUAAUCAUAGCUGUGGAGUUG
rnacentral:lncRNA from 1 species